CUAAACAUGGGGUGGGGGCACCAUCCUGUGAGCUGGGAUCCAGGGCUAGACAAAAAUUGGGGAGGGAGGAAAAAACAGUCAUGUAUUGGCAUUUUCCGUCCUCUCACUCUACUUCUUGGACAGGGUGACAGAUUAAGUCACUUCUGUCGCCAUGCUUUCUCCGUCAUGGUGGAUUGUGAGUCAAAAUAGACCCUUCAUUUCUUUCUUCCUCCCCUCCCCCCUUAAAUUGGUUUAUAUGAACUGUGAUGGUUAAUAUUGACUAUCAACUUGAUAGGGUCUGGUUGGUAUGACUUAAGUUUCGUGACUCUUCCCAUCUUGGUGAAGAUCAGCUUCCUCUAUAGAUGAUGGGGAUUUCAGCCAUGGAUGUGAGUUACAGAUGCUGGAGGUCCAGCUGAGAGUACAGAGAUAUAAACAAGUAUGUACAUGAAAGAUCUCUUCAUCCCAGCCACAGGAGAUAUUGACAGCCAGAGAGGAGGGGUUCUAAUUCACCUUACCACCCUUAGUUACCUCAUAUGUUGUUCAUCAUAUUCUGGUCUCUUUGUUG
rnacentral:lncRNA from 1 species